AAAUAGUUCUACAAAUCUGAGCUGUUGGUGUGUCCUUGGAUUGUGUGGUAAUAAUAUUAGAGCCUGCAAGCUUUCUUACUGAAUCUCUACUAUGAGUCAUGUUACCUGAGAUUAAUUCUAUGUUUACCUGUCAGCCUGGACGAAUGUGCUGUGUGAAGGAAAUUAAAUUAAAUCAGAUCUGAACUGCGUACAUUUAAGGAACCUGUUCAUAUUUAAUAUGAACCAGUGAUUUUUUUGAUUGCUGAUUCCAAGAGAGUCUUUGUGGAAAUCCUGUUUGGCUUUUUGUUAUUUUAAUUCUCUUCUCUGUUUUCCAGAACAGUUCUCCACAGUCACUGUCCACAUGGGUCAGUGGCGCCAAGAAGCACUCUGCUAAUGUGGGACUCUGACCAGCAACAUCCAGCAGGACCCAGACAGCGUUUUCUAUCUCCCAGCUGGAGGUUUUGUUUGUCUGUAACUGGAGAGUCAGAUUUUUGUUGAGCUUCACACUUGCAGAGGUUAAUACACGCUACCGAUCCCUGAUAGGAGAAUCAUCAAUUUUGGCAACAAAGAAGCCUGGUGGAUGUUUGUUUACAGUCUGAUGUCUUUUCGCAGGAUCAGAAAACAAAACCAGGAGGCGCGUAAAUGUUGCUUCUCCAUGAUGUUUCUUCAAAUGUUUCUUCUGGAUGAUGAUAAGACUGUGACACGGGAUGCACCUUUGGUCUUGUGAUGAAGCAAAGCUCAGGAAGAAGUGGGAUUAAAUGGUACCCACAUGUGUGCUGCUGAGAAGGAUGUACAGGGGCACCUGCAGCCAAAUCCAAGCCUCAGGUUAGUUGUAGUUGCAGAAUGCUAUAGACUGAGACAGCUGAGGCAUCAAAUGUUUGAUUAAACGGAUGAAAAAGAGAAGUUUCUUCCCUAUAAUUAUCACUUCUUAAAAUCUGUAGCAACUUCAAGUCUGUCAGCGUGCGGAGCAUGCUCAGAAUGUGACAAUAUAUUUUUGUUCAAUAUUUAAUUUCUUUCAGUUGCAAUUGGUAAAUGAAAAAAAAUAUUUUCUUAUAAUUUAGCAAACUAAUUUAUCAAAAAAAAAAUAUAUACAUAUAUCUGUAUUAGUUUUAAUAAAUUAAUUUGACACCUGUAUGGAAAAUACCAUAUUGUAUUCAUACAGAAUCAGUUUGGUAUCAUUGUUGGUCUGCUCACUGAUUGUUGAAGCUAAGAGCUGCUUUGAUCUGUUUAGAUCUAAAGUAUCCAAAGUUGAGCUCUGAUGUUUCUUCACCCCUGUGUGUGUGAUAUGUGAUUCCUACAUGCUGGCAGAGCAGAGCAGCAGUUUUUGCUGACAGAUGGUGACGGUGUGGAGAGACGGUGGUGUUUCCUCAGAAGAACCAGCAGAGUCACUUGCUGACUGAUGCUCGUCUGCACUGCACAGAGGAAAUCAGCUGACCGAGGAGUGUUUCUGAGUGAGGGGGAGAGGAGUCAUCAUCCAGGUAAAGUGACGUGGAUCAGUGGACACACUUGUCUCCCCUUUAAAGGAGACGAUCCAAGUCAUCCUUAAAUAUGGGCAGCAUAUCAGUCUUGGACUGUCUAACCUGCCGGAGCAGCACUGAAUGACCACCACACACGAGCAUGUUCCUGCAACAUUCAGCAUCUGAUCCUUCAUCUGUGUGCUUCUGCUUUUGUGUCACAUGUCAAACAGCUGGAGAGGAAACUACACCAGUGUACUGGGAUGUUUCACCAACACACCAGAUGCUGUUCCUUCAUGGUGACAUCACCAGAGACAGCCCCGCCCACCUCAGGACCUCGCCAUUGAUCAUGAUGAUUAUAAUGAUGACAGCGAGCGGAACUAAGACUGUAAAAAUCCACGACCAGAAUGUUUCUUUCUAAUUAUGAAUGAAUACUGAGAGCCUCUUUCUGUGUUUUGUCUGUUUUGGGGUUGUUUUUUUUACCUCAUUUGUUACUAACAAAGUUCACAAACUCACACAGUUUACAUUCUGCAUGUUUCCAUCUUUACCAGCCACACUCCAACUGCAUUUAAGAAAAUAAUCCUUAGAAAUCGUCGUUUUUCUCUUUUGUAAUUGAUGAUAAUUCAGUGAAUAUACUGCGCUGCUUCCUUUUAUUGCGUCGCACAUUGCUUUAAGUUUUUCAGUGUCCAGUUAUUUUUUACUGCUGUUUGAAUUCUCUGUAUGUUUGACCCUGUAGACCAUAGGUGUCAAACUCUGGCCCGUGGGCCAAAUUUGGCCCGCAGCCUAAUUACAUUUGGCCCGCGAAGCCAUACCAAAUUACUAUUAGAGCAGGCCUACUGGUAUUAUACAGCUAAUAUAUAUAUUGUUUAGUAUUAGGCUUUGCUUGUUCCAUAUUCAGUUUUUCAGCAAAACUUGUUUGAGUCCAUAACAAAAGAUUCAUUCUUAUAUCUGGAGGAAGAUUUUUUUUCAAUAAAUAUUAACGUUAGCCCGCGACUUUGUUCCAGUUUUGAAUUUUGGCCCACUGUGUAUUUGAGUUUGACACCCCUGCUGUAGACUGUUUGAUGGACUGCUUGUCUUCCUGUUUGUAACCGCCGCCUGUUUUUUAAUAAAGAUUUGGAUUUCUGACUUCAA
ensembl:lncRNA